GACGAACGCUGGCGGCGUGCCUAAUACAUGCAAGUAGAACGCUGAAGGAGGAGCUUGCUUCUCCGGAUGAGUUGCGAACGGGUGAGUAACGCGUAGGUAACCUGCCUGGUAGCGGGGGAUAACUAUUGGAAACGAUAGCUAAUACCGCAUAACAGUAGAUGUUGCAUGACAUUUGCUUAAAAGGUGCAAUUGCAUCACUACCAGAUGGACCUGCGUUGUAUUAGCUAGUUGGUGAGGUAACGGCUCACCAAGGCGACGAUACAUAGCCGACCUGAGAGGGGGAUCGGCCACACUGGGACUGAGACACGGCCCAGACUCCUACGGGAGGCAGCAGUAGGGGAUCUUCGGCAAUGGACGGAAGUCUGACCGAGCAACGCCGCGUGAGUGAAGGAGGUUUUCGGAUCGUAAAGCUCUGUUGUAAGAGAAGAACGAGUGUGAGAGUGGAAAGUUCACACUGUGACGGUAUCUUACCAGAAAGGGACGGCUAACUACGUG
rnacentral:rRNA from 1 species